rnacentral:misc_RNA from 1 species
GAGACAAGCAUAUGACUACUGGCAGGAUCAACCAGGUAGCAUUCCGUUUCGACUUUUGGCGAUGCAUGGACGGCAUCCAAAACAACACCAAUUGUCAUUCGCACGUAGCGUGGGACGCUUUUUUAGAGGGGCAAAUAGAGAUCGAUGGUGCCUCGUACCCACAAGGUACUCCAUGACCGAGAGAACGAACGUGGUGCCAUUGUUCCAACAACCCAUGAAACAUUCGAUCCAUGAGGUUGGAGCAUGACAUUUGGUUCACGGUUCACCUUACGUCACGAGCAAAAAGAGAUGCUCGCAACCACAGGCGAAAUGACGUCAUUAAUCCAACGAAUUCCCGCACUUUGGGUAUAGACACAAGAAACCGAUCGCGGCCAAGAUGUUUCUCCUUCUCUUGAACCAAUUWCUGAAAAGGCAUGGCAGGUACAUAUUCGCUGCGCAAGCAGGGAAACGAUAUACCCAUACACACCGAGCACCACUCACGCGCUCUAU